AUUGAACGCUGGCGGCAUGCCUUACACAUGCAAGUCGAACGGCAGCGGACCUUCGGGUGCCGGCGAGUGGCGAACGGGUGAGUAAUAUAUCGGAACGUACCUUUCAGUGGGGGAUAACGUAGCGAAAGUUACGCUAAUACCGCAUAUUCUGUGAGCAGGAAAGCAGGGGAUCGCAAGACCUUGCGCUGAUUGAGCGGCCGAUAUCAGAUUAGCUAGUUGGUGAGGUAAAGGCUCACCAAGGCGACGAUCUGUAGCGGGUCUGAGAGGAUGAUCCGCCACACUGGAACUGAGACACGGUCCAGACUCCUACGGGAGGCAGCAGUGGGGGAAUUUUGGACAAUGGGCGCAGGCCUGAUCCAGCCAUGCCGCGUGAGUGAAGAAGGCCUCGGUUGUAAG
rnacentral:rRNA from 1 species